UGGGGAUAUAGCUCAAUGGUAGAGUGUUUGCCUGCAGAUCAAGUGGGUCUUGGUUCAAAUCCAAGUGCCCCAU